rnacentral:rRNA from 1 species
GGAUUAGAUACCCUGGUAGUCCACGCCGUAAACGAUGUCAACUAGUUGUUGGGUUCCUUGCGGACUUAGUAACGCAGCUAACGCAUUAAGUUGACCGCCUGGGGAGUACGGCCGCAAGGUUAAAACUCAAAUGAAUUGACGGGGGCCCGCACAAGCGGUGGAGCAUGUGGUUUAAUUCGAUGCAACGCGAAGAACCUUACCUACUCUUGACAUCCAGAGAAUUCGCUAGAGAUAGCUUAGUGCCUUCGGGAACUCUGAGACAGGUGCUGCAUGGCUGUCGUCAGCUCGUGUUGUGAAAUGUUGGGUUAAGUCCCGUAACGAGCGCAACCCCUAUCCUUAUUUGCCAGCGAGUAUGUCGGGAACUCUAAGGAGACUGCCGGUGACAAACCGGAGAAGGUGGGGAUGACGUCAAGUCAUCAUGGCCCUUACGAGUAGGGCUACACACGUGCUACAUGGUCCGGUACAACUGGUUGCUAACCGCGAGGGGGCGCUAUCCACUAAGCCGAUCGUAGUCCGGAUCGCAGCUGCACUCCGACUGCUGAGUCGAAUCGCUAGUAAUCGCGAUC